rnacentral:lncRNA from 1 species
UUCUGCUUUUUCUUUCUUUUACAUAUAUCUUUUGGUUUACAAUACUAGUGUUUAUAUUCAUUUACCAUGCAUAGAUGUAUUUUUUUCACCUGCUUGGAUUUAUUUUGUAAAUGAUCGCCAAACCCGGAAUUACCCUUAUCCGCUUCCGGAAUCGGAUCCGAUUUUGUAAAAUUUUGUCUUCACGGCCGCCAUUGUUAUGUGUUCGCAAUGUUGUUUUUGUCAAUCAGGUACGAUUUUACUCGAAUUUAUACAAUAUUUGUCGGCGAUUUUCUGUAUAAAGCUAGCGGUUGAACAAAAUGAACAUCGCCGUCAUGAAUAAUAAUGAUAAAAAUAAGUUUUUAGCUCGUUUAAUUGGAGACUUUGGUGAACAUGGUGAAAAGGUUUGCAAAGUAAUUUCUUAUUUUCUUUCAAAUGUAAGGUGACUACGUCGGGCGUAGCUAGAAUCCAACUAUCCUAGUCGAAAUUCCGCUUGCAAAAGUGGAAGAUCGCGGAUCUCGGACCAC